GACUACAGUCAGUUUUGCAGGAUUGCAUUCCAGCUUAUUCCAAACGCUGUGCAAAUCCAUGCAAAACUGACUGUGGUU
rfam:Chelonia mydas contig161826, whole genome shotgun sequence.